rnacentral:lncRNA from 1 species
AUGUUCCAGUGUAGCAUGAUAAUGCCACAUCUUGCCCCCACUAGAGGUGUGUGUUUGUGUAUGUGUGAAAUGAGGGCACUGAUCCACACCUACCCAUCAGGCAACAAAAGUAUGGACCUGAACAGUGUAUGCGCUGAAAUAAGAUGCUUCUUUUCUUUUAAACACUAUAAAAACUCUAAACUUCUUUUGUCAGGACUUACAUUUCUGUACUAAAUACAGUCCAGUCUAAAGUAAGUGUGUGUAUGUGUGUGUGUGUGUGUGUGUAUGUGUGUGUGUGUGUAUGUAUAUGUGUGUGUGUAUAUAUAUAUAUAUAUAUAUAUAUAUAUAUAUAUAUAUAUAUAAUAUUGAUACAAAGGGUGUUUCUUUUUAAUGCAUUCUCUUCAUAUAUAUUAAACAAAACAAACCAUGUUCUGUCAUUUCUAUUUUGAGUUCUGUUUUACAGAGGACUCAGAUGCUUAAUUAAGUAAAGUCAGUGACAUGCUCAGAAAACCUUGUGCUGUUCCAGGUUUAGUCGCAUGGAAGAAAGCACUGCCAUCAAUCUAGAUUAAAAUGAAAAGGCCGUGACCGAUUCAUUUGUUUCACCUGUGACAAUUACAAAAAAGGCUCAUAAUGUUGUCAGCUUGGAGCAGAUCUUCACAGUAUUGGAAAGUUAACAUAUUCUAUGAAGAAAUAAAAAUCUUUUCUAGCCCUCCUUCAGAGUAUGCAAUAUAAAUAAGGAGAGAAAAAUGAACUCCUAGUUUAUACUUUUAUAUUUUGCAUUGAUUUAAUUUGUUGCAUUGACAAGAAUGAUCAUUCUUGACAGCUAUUUCUUUAUCUCUGAAGGGGGGUUCCUGGGGGAAGGUCUAUCUUAAUUAUUUGCUUACAUUACACAGACUUUGUCAAAAGAUAUUCUGAAGAGCCCCUUGACAUCCUUAAGUGUCACCAUAUUAGAUACCUUCUGAGCUGUGAGACUAUUUUCUUAAUAGGUUUGCACAUGGAGAAAAGGAAGGUUUGGUUAGGUAUGAAACAUGGUGCAGACAAAGGCUUUGCAGCUCAAGUAAUGUCUCAUGUAUUAACUGAUUCACAAAGCAAACAGCUAUAGGACAUUAUUCUUGUUAAUUGCCAUCAAGCUGA